rnacentral:rRNA from 1 species
AUUGAACGCUGGCGGCAGGCCUAACACAUGCAAGUCGAGCGGAUGAGGGGAGCUUGCUCCUGGAUUCAGCGGCGGACGGGUGAGUAAUGCCUAGGAAUCUGCCUGGUAGUGGGGGAUAACGUCCGGAAACGGGCGCUAAUACCGCAUACGUCCUGAGGGAGAAAGUGGGGGAUCUUCGGACCUCACGCUAUCAGAUGAGCCUAGGUCGGAUUAGCUAGUUGGUGGGGUAAAGGCCUACCAAGGCGACGAUCCGUAACUGGUCUGAGAGGAUGAUCAGUCACACUGGAACUGAGACACGGUCCAGACUCCUACGGGAGGCAGCAGUGGGGAAUAUUGGACAAUGGGCGAAAGCCUGAUCCAGCCAUGCCGCGUGUGUGGAGAAGGUCUUCGGAUUGUAAAGCACUUUAAGUUGGGAGGAAGGGCAGUAAGUUAAUACCUUGCUGUUUUGACGUUACCAACAGAAUAAGCACCGGCUAACUUCGUG